GAGUUUGAUCCUGGCUCAGGACGAACGCUGGCGGCGUGCCUAACACAUGCAAGUCGAACGGAACUGUUUUGAAAGAUUUCUUCGGAAUGAAUUUGAUUUAGUUUAGUGGCGGACGGGUGAGUAACGCGUGAGUAACCUGCCUUCAAGAGGGGGAUAACAUUCUGAAAAGGAUGCUAAUACCGCAUGACAUAUCGGAACCACAUGGUUCUGAUAUCAAAGAUUUUAUCGCUUGAAGAUGGACUCGCGUCCGAUUAGUUAGUUGGUGAGGUAACGGCUCACCAAGACCGCGAUCGGUAGCCGGACUGAGAGGUUGAACGGCCACAUUGGGACUGAGACACGGCCCAGACUCCUACGGGAGGCAGCAGUGGGGGAUAUUGCACAAUGGGGGAAACCCUGAUGCAGCGACGCCGCGUGGAGGAAGAAGGUUUUCGGAUUGUAAACUCCUGUCGUUAGGGACGAUAAUGACGGUACCUAACAAGAAAGCACCGGCUAACUACGUGCCAGCCGCCGCGGUAAUAC
rnacentral:rRNA from 1 species